UUAAUAAGUCACAGGUGCGAGACGAGAUUUUUUUAAUAUAUGUAUUUCAUCUGAAUACAUUUCGUCUCGCACCUGUGCAUGGUUUCAGUUUAUAUAUUUUUUUCACCUGAAAUCAAGAUGGCUGUUCAAAAUUUUGAAAUUAAACCGGAAAAUAUAACCGAAUAUAGAACACUUAAAAGAGGAGAUCAACUAGCUGUAGAAGGUGCAGAAGUUGGUAUUAAUUUUUACCACCAUGGAAUAUUUCUGGGACACGAGAAAGGUGUAGCUGAUUUUGGAGGUAAUAAUAAACUCGACGCAACAGUUAGAAAUGUUGAUUUAUUGCAGUUUACAAGUUACGGCAAGAGAAGACUUGUAAGGAUCAACUACCCUAACAACGAUUGCCUUCCACCAGAAAUCGCAGCAAUGAACGCAGAAAUGCUAGUUGCAGAUCCACAUCAGUGGGGGCCAUUUGAUAUACUGAAGAAUAAUUGUGAGCAUUUCGCCGUUAAGUGCAAAACAGGUGUAGCAGUGUCAUUUCAAGUUCUUGAUAAGCUAAGAGAAUGUCUUCUAAAUCCUGUUCAAUUGGUAAGGUAUGCUGUUGCAUCAAGUGUGAAUAGUGUGAAAAAGGGGGGUUUUGGAUCCCCUUCAAUAACAAAUUUAUUGAUUAAAAAAAUAAUGAUUGUUUUAAUCUAGCGAUGUUUGGAUAUAUAUAUAUAUAUACUUAUAGAAAAUAAUGGUCUAAUUGUAUCCCUUGAUAAAACUGUAAUUUGUACAUAUUUUAUUCAUUAAAUUUGAAGAAUUGUCUUAUCCGUGUGAUAUGACUGUCGUUAUCAACUGUUUCCGGUUUAUAUCAACUGCUUCCGGUUAUUAUCGCAUGCCUUUCUGUAACGUUAUCGCACGGCAUUUCGACGUCACUCUGCAAAUUUUGGAAAAUACACCUCAAUGGUACGUUCUAAGUGAAAAACAUAACAAAGAAGGAAUAAAGAAAACAAUAUUUGGAAACAGGAAAAUAUAUUAUUAAAAAAUGCAAAACAAAUAAUACAAUAAAUGGAUUUUUCAAAGUUUUAAAAAUAGUUCUUGUCUGUAUGCCUUCUGCUGUCGGCUCUCAGGCUGAUAUCAUGACCUAGAGCUGAUAAAGGGUCGGAUAUGAAAAAUGCCAUGUUAUAAUCUAUAUAUAUAUAUUAUACUUAAGGAUUAUGAAAUGCUAUAACAUGUUUGUCUUAAACGCAUUUUUUUUUUCAGUAUAAUGCAUUGUUUUUUUGUUUUGUUUUGUUUUUCAAAAUCAAAAUUGUGAUGUACUUCAAGACAUAUACAUAUUCUUAGUCCAGUUAUGUGCGUAAUUAUAGCAGUAUGAUCAUUCAUAUUUAUAGAAUAAAAUUGAUGUAUUAACAAAACAUUAUAUCUUUAAUUGAUUAUUGCACACACAUAUUAUUUCAUUGCAUCUCUACUGUUUAAAGAGACAGAACUCAUACAUGUGUCCUACUCACCUUAGAUCUGUAUAACUACAAAAUGUAUAUUAUUAAAUCAAUUAAAAAACAA